rnacentral:rRNA from 2 species
GAGUUUGAUCUUGGCUCAGAGCGAACGCUGGCGGCAGGCUUAACACAUGCAAGUCGAGCGGGCGUAGCAAUACGUCAGCGGCAGACGGGUGAGUAACGCGUGGGAACGUACCUUUUGGUUCGGAACAACACAGGGAAACUUGUGCUAAUACCGGAUAAGCCCUUACGGGGAAAGAUUUAUCGCCGAAAGAUCGGCCCGCGUCUGAUUAGCUAGUUGGUAGGGUAAUGGCCUACCAAGGCGGCGAUCGAUAGCUGGUCUGAGAGGAUGAUCAGCCAGACUGGGACUGUGACACGGCCCAGACUCCUACGGGAGGCAGCAGUUAGGAAUCUUGGGCAAUGGGCGCAAGCCUGACCCAGCAACGCCGCGUGGGUGACGAAGGCCUUCGGGUCGUAAAGCCCUUUUCCCCGGGUAACGAUGAUGACGGUACCGGGGGAAGUAAGCCCCGGC